rnacentral:RNase_P_RNA from 1 species
GCAGGACAGAUGAUCGCUGCCACGUAAGUGGGAGAGGAAAGUCCGGGCUUCACAGGGCAGGAUGGCGGAUAACGUCCGCCGGAGGCGACUCCCGAGAUAGUGCAACAGAGAUAUACCGCCGGCUUCGGCCGGUAAGGGUGAAAAGGCAGUGUAAGAGACUACCGAUCAUGUGGUAACACGUGAUGCCAUGUAAACCUCAUCCGAAGCAAGUCCUAGACGGAACAUAAGGCGGCCCGCUUGUUCCAGGUUGGACGCUUGAGGCGGCUGGCAACAGUCGUCCUAGAUAGAUGAUCAUCCGAUGACAUAACCCGGCUUAUCGUUCUGCUUUU